rnacentral:rRNA from 1 species
AGGCCUUAAUCAUGGAAUGCCAACGAGAUUGAAGAGCUUGCUCUUCAUGAAAGUGGCGCACGGGUGCGUAACGCGUAUGCAAUCUACCUUACUCAGGGGGAUAGCCCGGAGAAAUCCGGAUUAACACCGCAUAACAUAAUGAUAUGGCAUCAUAUUAUUAUCAAAUAUUAAUAGGAGUAAGAUGAGCAUGCGUGACAUUAGCUAGUUGGUAAGGUAACGGCUUACCAAGGCGACGAUGUCUAGGGGAUCUGAGAGGAUGACCCCCCACACUGGUACUGAGACACGGACCAGACUCCUACGGGAGGCAGCAGUAAGGAAUAUUGGUCAAUGGAGGCAACUCUGAACCAGCCAUGCCGCGUGCAGGAAGACGGCCCUACGGGUUGUAAACUGCUUUUGUACCGGAAUAAACCCUCUUUCGUGAAAGAGGUUGAAUGUACGGUAAGAAUAAGGAUCGGCUAACUCCGUGCCAGCAGCCGCGGUAAUACGGAGGAUCCAAGCGUUAUCCGGAUUUAUUGGGUUUAAAGGGUGCGUAGGCGGCUUAUUAAGUCAGGGGUGAAAGACGGUGGCUCAACCAUCGCAGUGCCUUUGAUACUGAUGAGCUUGAAUAUACCUGAGGUAGGCGGAAUGUGACAAGUAGCGGUGAAAUGCAUAGAUAUGUCACAGAACACCAAUUGCGAAGGCAGCUUACUAAAGUAUAAUUGACGCUGAGGCACGAAAGCGUGGGGAUCAAACAGGAUUAGAUACCCUGGUAGUCCACGCCCUAAACGAUGAACACUCGAUGUUGGCGAUAUACAGUCAGCGUCUAAGCGAAAGCGUUAAGUGUUCCACCUGGGGAGUACGCCCGCAAGGGUGAAACUCAAAGGAAUUGACGGGGGCCCGCACAAGCGGAGGAGCAUGUGGUUUAAUUCGAUGAUACGCGAGGAACCUUACCCGGGCUUGAAAGUUACUGAAUGAUCCAGAGAUGGAUCAGUCCUUCGGGACAGGAAACUAGGUGCUGCAUGGCUGUCGUCAGCUCGUGCCGUGAGGUGUUGGGUUAAGUCCCGCAACGAGCGCAACCCCC